AAUUUUUUUUCUCAUCACUCGCUUUUAAAGACAACUACUUGAAUAUGAUAUUUUUUUUGCUAAAUUAAGAGAGGCCAGACCACCACCCGUCACCACAGGAGGGCGUCACCGGCGACGGUGGUGAAGGGUCGAAGGAAGUGUAAAGCCCGUUUUGUUAUCUUAAAAGAUGGGUCAAGGGCUGAGUUGUGGAGCGAGUCAAGAGAAUGUAUUGUUUAGUGCAGUUCAAGGUGGAGACCUUGAAACUGUGGAAGCUUUAUUAAGGAGAGAAUCCAAUCUUUUACAUCAUACGACUGUUUAUGAUCGCCACUCUGCUCUUCAUAUAGCUGCUGCUUAUGGCCAGAUCGAGAUUUUGGCUAUGCUUUUGGAGAAAUCCGUGAACCCGGACGUAGUGAAUCGUCAAAAGCAGACUCCCCUUAUGUUGGCUGCAAUGCAUGGGAAUAUCUCCUGCGUGAAGAAGCUGAUUGAAGCCGGGGCAAAUAUCUUAAUGUUUGAUUCAAUUCAUGGAAGAACUUGCUUGCACUAUGCAGCCUAUUAUGGUCACUCUGACUGCCUUCAGGCUAUUCUCUCUGCUGCUCAAUCUAGCCCUGUUGCUGUUUCAUGGGGAUAUGCACGUUUUGUGAAUAUAAGAGAUGCCAAGGGAGCUACUUCCUUACACUUAGCAGCUCGUCAAAGGCGGCCUGACUGCGUACAUAUCCUGUUAGACAAUGGUGCUCUUGUUUGUGCUUCAACUGGUGGAUAUGGUUGUCCAGGAAGCACACCUCUUCAUUUGGCUGCUAGAGGUGGAUCUCUUGAUUGCAUCCGCAAGUUGUUGGCAUGGGGUGCGGACCGUCUUCAAAGAGAUGCAUCCGGGAGAAUACCUUAUGUAGUUGCUCUAAAGCACAAACAUGGGGCAUGUGCAGCUCUGCUAAAUCCUUCAUCAGCAGAACCUAUCGUCUGGCCGGCACCUUUAAAGUUCAUUAGUGAGCUUAAUGAGGAGGCAAAAACACUAUUAGAACAAGCCUUAAUGGAUGCAAACCGGGAAAGAGAAAAGAACAUCCUGAAGGGAACAGCUUACUCAAUUCCAUCACCUUCACAAUCUGAUUCUGGGUUAGAUGACAAUAUCUCUGAGGUGAACUAUUUAUAACAAUUGGACGUUGGCUGUAACGGAGCUGAUAUAUUCUCCCGGAAAUAUUUUAUGUAGGCUAGUGAUACUGAACUAUGCUGCAUAUGCUUUGAGCAAAUCUGCACAAUUGAAGUUCAAGACUGUGGUCACCAGAUGUGUGCACAAUGCACACUGGCAUUGUGCUGCCACAACAAGCCAAACCCUACAACUGCAAGUCUAACACCCCCCGCAUGCCCCUUUUGCCGGAGCCCCAUUGUCCGAUUGGUGGUAGCCAAGAUAAAGAAUCAUGAUGACGUGGAUCAUGACAUUGGGGAUGUUAGUUCCUCGAAGCUGAGAAAAACAAGGAAGUCAAGGAAUUUUAGUGAAGGAAGCAGCAGCUUCAAGAGCUUAUCUGCAGUUGGUUCAUUCAGCAAGAUCAGUGGCCGAGGCUCCGGAAGGAUUGCUGCAGAAAAUGAAUGGAUUGAUAAGCCUUGAAAAAACAUGGGAAGUUUCAAGUUGUCAGUCAAGGACAUUCUCUUUCACACAAUGUGAGAAAAAUCGAGCAAUCACGGUCAGUGCUAGACCCAUUAGUUAUAUAUGUUAGAUGGAAGGGAGGUCCAUAUGUAGAUUUUGGGGGGAAAUAAGCGAAGGAAAUGAGUUUCAGGCUUGACUUGGACAUGUACUGAUGUAACAACUUGUUUGUUAUGUGCCAUGGAUCAUGGAUGAUGAUGAAUGAAGGAUAGGGAUGUGAAUGGCACGACACAUGGCUACAGUUAGACCAACCCCAUUCAGCAAUUAAAAUCAGCAACUAAUACAAUUACUAGCAGUCAAAGACGGCCACAAUUUUCCAUCAUUGUUGGUUUUGUUUCAGAGUUCAAACUUUUUUUUAGAGAAAUGGAACUCAUUUUUAUUUAUUUGUAAUGUAAGACUUAUCGGUUUCUGUUGAAAUAUAUAGUUUUGUUAGAAGAGUUUGAAUUUAGAA